GACGAACGCUGGCGGCGUGCUUAACACAUGCAAGUCGAGCGGAGCGGCGAACGGGUGAGUAACGCGUGAGUAACUGCCCACCUCCCUGGGAUAACAGUUGGAAACGGCUGCUAAUACCGGAUAGUGGGGGAUGACUCUCGUCCUAUCAGAUUGUUGGUGGGGUGAUGGCAUACCAAGGCGGUGACGGGUAGCCGGCCUGAGAGGGUGACCGGCCACAUUGGGCGGAGAUACGGCCCAGACUCCUACGGGAGGCAGCAGUGGGGGAUAUUGCACAAUGGGCGAAAGCCUGAUGCAGCGACGCCGAGUGGGGGAUGAAGGCUUUCGGGUUGUAAACCUCUUUCGCUAUCGAAAGGGUAGGUGGAGAAGAAGCGCCGGCUAACUACGUGCCAGCAGCCGCGGUAAUAC
rnacentral:rRNA from 1 species